rnacentral:rRNA from 1 species
CAUCCUCCAAGGCUAAAUACUCCUGACUGACCGAUAGUGAACCAGUACCGUGAGGGAAAGGCGAAAAGAACCCCGGCGAGGGGAGUGAAAAAGAACCUGAAACCGUGUACGUACAAGCAGUGGGAGCACAGGUUUACCUGUGUGACUGCGUACCUUUUGUAUAAUGGGUCAGCGACUUAUAUUCUGUAGCAAGGUUAACCGAAUAGGGGAGCCGUAGGGAAACCGAGUCUUAAUUGGGCGUUAAGUUGCAGGGUAUAGACCCGAAACCCGGUGAUCUAGCCAUGGGCAGGUUGAAGGUUGGGUAACACUAACUGGAGGACCGAACCGACUAAUGUUGAAAAAUUAGCGGAUGACCUGUGGCUGGGGGUGAAAGGCCAAUCAAACCGGGAGAUAGCUGGUUCUCCCCGAAAGCUAUUUAGGUAGCGCCUCGUGAAUUCAUCUCCGGGGGUAGAGCACUGUUUCGGCUAGGGGGCCAUCCCGGCUUACCAACCCGAUGCAAACUGCGAAUACCGGAGAAUGUUAUCACGGGAGACACACGGCGGGUGCUAACGUCCGUCGUGAAGAGGGAAACAACCCAGACCGCCAGCUAAGGUCCCAAAGUCAUGGUUAAGUGGGAAACGAUGUGGGAAGGCCCAGACAGCCAGGAUGUUGGCUUAGAAGCAGCCAUCAUUUAAAGAAAGCGUAAUAGCUCACUGGUCGAGUCGGCCUGCGCGGAAGAUGUAACGGGGCUAAACCAUGCACCGAAGCUGCGGCAGCGA